GCAAUGGGCGAAAGCCUGACGGAGCAACGCCGCGUGAGUGAUGAAGGUUUUCGGAUCGUAAAACUCUGUUGUUAGGGAAGAACAAGUGCCGUUCGAAUAGGGCGGCACCUUGACGGUACCUAACCAGAAAGCCACGGCUAACUACGUGCCAGCAGCCGCGGUAAUACGUAGGUGGCAAGCGUUGUCCGGAAUUAUUGGGCGUAAAGCGCGCGCAGGUGGUUUCUUAAGUCUGAUGUGAAAGCCCACGGCUCAACCGUGGAGGGUCAUUGGAAACUGGGGAACUUGAGUGCAGAAGAGGAAAGUGGAAUUCCAAGUGUAGCGGUGAAAUGCGUAGAUAUUUGGAGGAACACCAGUGGCGAAGGCGACUUUCUGGUCUGUAACUGACACUGAGGCGCGAAAGCGUGGGGAGCAAACAGGAUUAGAUACCCUGGUAGUCCACGCCGUAAACGAUGAGUGCUAAGUGUUGGGGGGUUUCCGCCCCUCAGUGCUGCAGCUAACGCAUUAAGCACUCCGCCUGGG
rnacentral:rRNA from 1 species